GUGCUCAUUUUAGCAGCGUGUGUAUUAAAAUUAGAACGAUACCGAAAAGAUUACCAUGGACCCUGUGCAAGGAUGACAUGCAAAUUUGUGAAGUGUUCCGUAUUUUU
rnacentral:snRNA from 1 species